rnacentral:rRNA from 1 species
UACGUAGGGGGCAAGCGUUGUCCGGAAUUAUUGGGCGUAAAGCGCGCGCAGGCGGUUCUUUAAGUCUGGUGUCUAAGUGCGGGGCUCAACCCCGUGAUGCACUGGAAACUGGGGAACUUGAGUGCAGAAGAGGAGAGUGGAAUUCCUGGUGUAGCGGUGAAAUGCGCAGAUAUCAGGAAGAACACCCGUGGCGAAGGCGGCUCUCUGGGACGGUACUGACGCUGAGACGCGAAAGCGUGGGGAGCGAACAGG